rnacentral:rRNA from 1 species
GAUGAACGCUGGCGGCGUGCCUAAUACAUGCAAGUCGAGCGAACAGAUAAGGAGCUUGCUCCUUUGACGUUAGCGGCGGACGGGUGAGUAACACGUGGAUAACCUACCUAUAAGACUGGGAUAACUUCGGGAAACCGGAGCUAAUACCGGAUAACAUAUUGAACCGCAUGGUUCAAUAGUGAAAGGCGGCUUUGCUGCCACUUAUAGAUGGAUCCGCGCCGUAUUAGCUAGUUGGUAAGGUAACGGCUUACCAAGGCAACGAUACGUAGCCGACCUGAGAGGGUGAUCGGCCACACUGGAACUGAGACACGGUCCAGACUCCUACGGGAGGCAGCAGUAGGGAAUCUUCCGCAAUGGGCGAAAGAAUGACGGAGCAACGCCGCGUGAGUGAUGAAGGUCUUCGGAUCGUAAAACUCUGUUAUCAGGGAAGAACAAAUGUGUAAGUAACUGUGCACAUCUUGACGGUACCUGAUCAGAAAGCCACGGCUAACUACGUG